rnacentral:tRNA from 1 species
GCACCUGUGGUGGAAUGGCAGACACGCAUGAUUCAGGUUCAUGUGCCGAGAGGCAUGAGGGUUCGAGUCCCCCCAGGUGCACCA